GGCUCUUCUAAAUGUCCCCUAUUUCAAUGCAUCUCAGCACUGUUCAAGAGCUCAAAUAUGAUGCCACUGGUGUGCAAUACACAAAAAAAGUUUCUGCUCACUCUUCCCAUCACCCCAGCAUGAGCUGCUGACUAGGGCAUCUCACCCCCAGACGUCGACACAAAGCUGAUGUUCAUAGAGAUCAGUGGCUUGUCAUUUCUUUCAGUAAGAAGUUAAGAACCAGUGCUAGAAAGGUGAAGCUCAGGGGGCUGAAGACCAAGGCAAGGCCUUGGAGGUGAAAACAAAUUGAAGAAGAAAGAAACGCUCCCAUGUCCUGCUUAAUGGCCACAGAUAAUUUUAAGCUUGAGCAAAGAACCAAGCCUCCCAACACAAUGGAAAGAAAGGAGGCACCGUGUGAAGGGAAGAUGGCAUACGUGGCACAGACCUCCACCUCUGCUCACCACCACAGAAGGCCACUCCUGCAUGGGCAGGCCUAUGAAAAACAAGGGUCCCUCAAGAAUGCCA
ensembl:lincRNA